rnacentral:hammerhead_ribozyme from 1 species
AGGCGAAACCCCUGAGAGGGGGUCGGGUGGGCUGGCAUCCCACCCCUGAUGAGCCUGCCGAGC